UGAGGCCAACAGAUCAGGAGAUGGUCUGCUAUCAAAAAGACAGUUUAUUAUUCACCCAGCCCAAGAGGAGGAUGCACACCAAGCCACACAAGGCAAUGUGGAGAAGCACUAAGGUCCAAAGGAGGCAGAAGGAGUGGGAGGAAACAUGGCAAAAAACAUUAUGUGAUUUUUGCAGGAAGGAAUGGACAAAUCAGGAUAAGCAGGUUUAGUUUGCAUAAUUUCAGUGGGAUCUGAGAUGUAGGAGUUGUUCCUAGUUGUCUGGUACUUUGCCCUGGAGUGAUUAGGGCAGGGGAAUAUUGGCAUGGAGUGUAACAGCCUGAUAAAGAAGGUAGAUGAUAAGUGAGUUGUUUGCUAUGUCUAGGAAUUAGCUAACCCUUGGAGGGGUUAUCUCCCUGGUCAGGAAGACCCCAGAUGCCAGAGCAUCAAGAAUACAAAAAAUAAGAAAAUAUAGUUAAUGGAAGUGGCCACUGAUCUAAGACACCAAACAGGAUUCUCUUGUUCAGCUGUGUUCAGCAUUUACGGAUACUGCUCUGUGACAGGCACUGUGCUGGGCCCUGAGAGAGGAGCAUCUGCAUGACACAGCUGCUGACCUCCACAAAUCUCAGGCCCAGGACUCUGAGCUCAUGAUCUAAUUCUAAAUGACUUUGGCAAAGGAAGGAAGUGUGUUCCAAAGAAGGGCUCAUCAGUUUAAAUGUUGGCAAACCAAUGCCAGGGUCAUGCAGACAAAAGACCAAAUAAAUGCACCAAACCAGAGCAUUUUUCUCCCCUUUUCCACAGAAUAUUGUCUCUCUCUUAUUUUCCCACCAGGGAUGCUCCUUUUUGCGACUCAGACCUAAUGUACUUGCUCUAUUUUCCCAGGGGGUCUAAACUCAGGAACCAGAAGAAUGACUAAAUGAGAAAUAAAAGUAAACUUCUGAGCCCCUGAACUGACUGAAUAGACCCAUUGUUCACUACAUAGAAAGCCAGUCAUUGAGACAAGGAGUAUUGCCAGGGAAGAAGGUUCUAUUUGGGUGCUGCAGCCAAGGAGAAUAGGAAAUCAGUCUCAAAUCCAUCUCCUCAACCAACUAAAAUUAGAGGUUUAUAUGGCAAGGGAGAAAUGUGACUACAUGUGAGAAAACAGGAAUUAGUGAGCGGUAAGGAUGAGGACUUGUUCAACAGGCAGCAGGUGGCUGGUUAGGCAAUCAUGAUGGGUGAGGGGUAUGGUGCCUCAUUGUCCAGAUGCAGUGAUCUGGUAAGUUUCAAUUCCUUGAUACUAUCUGGGAGGCCUCAUGGUUGGUUUCCCAAGAAAGGAACUCAGAUAAGAAAGAUGUAACUUUCUGAAGUUUUAAGACUGGGAGGGUAAAUUUCCAGGUUUAUUCAAAAGAAACCAUAAACAUCAGUUCUAUAGGACAGUUGGGCUGAUUUCACACCAACCAGCAUUCCUUCCUGAUAAGAGACCACCAACCACAGAGAAGUUCUGGCCAAUCUACCAGGGACUAACAGUGAGGGUUUUCAUGUCCUCUGCUUUGCCAUUUGACAUCGGAGGGCUGAAAACUUCACACUGGGAUCAUGCUAACACCACCAUUUUUUGAAUAUGGGUCCCAUAGAGAGGCAGGAAGCUUAAUUGUGCAUGUGCAUAUUUCUCCUUUCAUAAAUAUUCAUGAAUCCUCCUACAGCUCAUUGAAUAUAUUUGGCCACCCUGCUCAGCAUAAAUUUCUGUUCCCUUUGUCCUUCCUUCCAAGUGUCUGUUCUCAGCUUCUGACCAGAGGCUAUGCUUCCAAGCCUGUCAGAAAGGCCACCCUGCAGGCUGUAACCCUUCAUGAGAAAUAAAGCCCUUUUCUAAAUUUAUUAACCUCCUCAUUCUUCAGUUGACAUAAGUAGAGCAUCAUAGUCCCCACAAAUCAUUUCUGGGAUACUCUGUUCUUAUUUGUAAAACAAGGAGAUAGGAAAUGCAUGCUAUACUAAAAGUUUGUUCAAAGAACAUCAGCACGUGCAAAUGUCUGGGACCACAGGCUGCAAGCCUCCCUAUCGCUCUUAGGGCUUCGGUAGCCACAUUGCCACAGCUCUCCACGCCCUCAGGUAACGCCCCUCCGCAGGCCGAGACGUCGGCACGUACACCGUCAGGUCUUCCCGCUUUCCGUCGCUUCCUGUUCCGUCUUGGUCCCGCCUGCCGCUGGCGCCGUUGUUUCCGGCUCAACUGGGGAGCUGCUGGAGCUCUUUUGGCCUCUGGUUUUCCGACUGCUUAUCCGACGCUCCUCCCUCUGUCUCUGUAGCUGGAGGAGGUAGUUUCCAGGAAAGUUUUCCGGUUUGCAGGCCGCGCACAUCGGGCAGGGGCCAUCCUCGGUCCCCUUGCUCGCAGCCCCGUUCGGCUACAAGUGAGUUUCAGGGCGUCAUGGCCAGGGGCCACCGCGGCCAGCCGGGUGUGAGGCUGCCUUUCGCUGCCCGCGCGCUCCAGUGGUCUCUGGGUCCGCCGGCGUCCGUUUCGGCCUGAACGCAGCCCCUCCGCGGCGACGAGCAGUCUCGCGCCGGAGCUCAUGGCCUCGGAGGCGCCGCGGUCGCCGCCGCCGCCCACCUCCCCCGAGCCUGAGCUGGCCCAGCUAAGGCGGAAGGUGGAGAAGUUGGAACGUGAACUGCGGAGCUGCAAGCGGCAGGUGCGGGAGAUCGAGAAGCUGCUGCAUCACACAGAACGGCUGUACCAGAACGCAGAAAGCAACAACCAGGAGCUCCGCACGCAGGUGGAAGAACUCAGUAAAAUACUCCAACGUGGGAGAAAUGAAGAUAAUAAAAAGUCUGAUGUAGAAGUACAAACAGAGAACCAUGCUCCUUGGUCAAUCUCAGAUUAUUAUUAUCAGACGUACUACAAUGACGUUAGUCUUCCAAAUAAAGUGACUGAACUGUCAGAUCAACAAGAUCAAGCUAUCGAAACUUCUAUUUUGAAUUCUGAAGACCAUUUACAAAUAGAAAAUGAUGCUUACCCUGGUACCGAUAGAACAGAAAAUGUUAAAUAUAGACAAGUGGACAAUUUUGCCUCAAAUUCACAGGAGCCAGCAUCUGCAUUAGCAACAGAAGAUACCUCCUUAGAAGGCUCAUCAUUAGCUGAAAGUUUGAGAGCUGCAGCAGAAGCAGCUGUAUCACAGACUGGAUUUAGUUAUGAUGAAAAUACUGGACUGUAUUUUGACCACAGCACUGGUUUCUAUUAUGAUUCUGAAAAUCAACUCUAUUAUGAUCCUUCCACUGGAAUUUAUUACUAUUGUGAUGUGGAAAGUGGUCGUUAUCAGUUUCAUUCUCGAGUAGAUUUGCAACCUUAUCAGACUUCUAGCACAAAACAAAGUAAAGAUAAAAAAUUGAAGAAGAAAAGAAAAGAUCCAGAUUCUUCUGCAACAAAUGAGGAAAAGGAUUUGAACUCAGAGGAUCAAAAAGCCUUCAGUGUUGAACAUACAAGCUGCAAUGAGGAAGAAAAUUUCGCAAAUAUGAAAAAGAAGGCCAAAAUAGGCAUUCAUCACAAAAAUAGUCCCCCCAAAGUCACUGUUCCAACUAGUGGAAAUACUAUAGAGUCUCCUCUUCAUGAAAACAUCUCUAAUUCAACAUCAUUUAAAGAUGAGAAAAUCAUGGAGACUGAUAGUGAACCAGAGGAAGGUGAAAUUACAGAUUCUCAGACUGAGGAUAGUUUUGACGAAGACAUUACCAGUGAAGGCAAUGUAACUGCAGAAGAUAGUGAGGAUGAAGAUGAAGACAAAAUUUGGCCCCCAUGUAUUAGAGUAAUUGUCAUUAGAUCACCUGUGUUGCAGAUAGGAUCACUCUUUAUCAUUACUGCUGUAAACUCUGCUACAAUUGGAAGAGAAAAGGAUAUGGAACAUACUCUCCGAAUCCCUGAAGUUGGUGUCAGUAAGUUUCAUGCAGAAAUUUAUUUUGACCAUGACUUACAAAGUUAUGUCCUUGUGGAUCAAGGCAGUCAAAAUGGCACAAUUGUUAAUGGAAAACAGAUUCUUCAGCCGAAAACUAAAUGUGACCCUUACGUACUUGAGCAUGGAGAUGAAGUCAAAAUUGGAGAAACUGUCUUAUCCUUUCACAUUCAUCCUGGCAGUGAUACCUGUGAUGGCUGUGAACCAGGGCAGGUUAGAGCCCACCUUCGCCUUGAUAAGAAAGAUGAAUCUUUUGUUGGUCCAACACUAAGUAAGGAGGAAAAAGAGUUGGAAAGAAGAAAAGAAUUAAAGAAAAUACGAGUAAAAUAUGGUUUACAGAAUACAGAAUACGAAGAUGAAAAGACAUUGAAGAAUCCAAAAUAUAAAGAUAGAGCUGGAAAACGCAGGGAGCAGGUUGGAAGUGAAGGAACUUUCCAAAGAGAUGAUGCUCCUGCAUCUGUUCAUUCUGAAAUUACUGAUAGCAACAAAGGUCGGAAGAUGUUGGAGAAGAUGGGUUGGAAGAAAGGAGAGGGCCUGGGGAAGGAUGGUGGAGGAAUGAAAACGCCGGGUGGAAUGACAUACUCUGCAGCAUCUAAAUGAAAUUCGGUGAUUGCUGGUUAAGGAGCACUCUAUUUUCUGUAAAGUAGGCUGUACUUAUUGACAAGGCAAGACAACAUAGAAAAACGAAUUAUCCAGCUUCAGCUUCGGCGAACACAUGCAGGCUUGGGGACAGGCAAACCAUCCUCAAUUGAAGAUGUUCACCUUCUCCAAAACAAGAACAAAAAAAACUGGGACAAAGCACGAGAGCGGUUUACUGAAAACUUCCCAGAAACUAAGCCUCAAAAAGAUGACCCAGGGACCAUGCCUUGGGUAAAAGGGACUUUAGAGUGAAGGCUAAUCAUAGAAAAAAAACUCUAGUUUUUUUAAAAAUAGAAUUUGGAAACUUAUUUUUUUCUCCCCAAAAGAAUCAGCAGCACAGGGGAACUAUGUCACAGUUUACCUCUUCCUGAUUCAGAAAUGUGUAUGGUUUGCAGCUUUUAAAAACCAUUUUUUUAAAACUAAUAAAUAGUGACUGAACCAAUUUAGGCAGUAAAUAGACUAAAGUUCACAGGGCACGGAUGAGUUUAUCAAACUUCGUUAUUUUAUCUUGUCAUUUACAACAUCCAUAUAAGCAACUAGCCAUAUAAGCAAAAUUCAUAGAACUACUAAUGACUUAAGUGUACAUCUGUUCUUGUCUCCAUAUAUUCAUGUAAGAUGCACAACAAAAGAAACAUCAGAAGUUUAUAAAAAUAAAUCUGACUAUAUGCAUCCUCAUUUAUUCCCUUUAGAACCUAGGUAAAAAAUGUUGCGAAAACAUGGGUAGUGGCGCAUAUAUUUUGUUAUCCUUGAAAUAGCCUAAGUAAUGUUAUUGAAGAACUAAUGAACAGGUAACAUAUUGUAGAAAAUUAGUCUUUCAUUGUUUUCUUCUGUGAAGAAUCUGUUGCUAUGUACUAUAUAUUCAGCAUUUAUAUUUGGUUUGUUUCAUAGCUAAUGAGGUAUUUAGAUAUGAACAACUGAAUACAUAUUGAAAUAGUGUGCUGGCUUUUGUAGUUUUGAUAAAGACCAUUGCAGGCAAUGGAACUGUGCCAGAGAAAUCUGAUUUCUAGUACAAAAGGAAUACUUAGCCAGGGCCUCAAGCUCAAGAUACUUAUUGAAAACAUCCUCAAUUGCAAUAAAAACAUUAUGACAUGAAAAAGAGUGAUUUUUUGAACCGGUGAUUUAAAUGUAUUGAUCUGCUUUGAAUUUUCAAGCAGCCAGAAUUUUCUAGUUUAAAUUGGCAGAGUUAUAACAAAGGAGAGCCUCCAAUAUUAGACAAUUGCAGUGCGGCUUUCUGGGCACAGGUGUCACUGCUCUGCCACCUAUCACUAUUCUUUUUCUGUUCAGUUUUUCUCUCAGGUGUUUGCUGGGAGAUUAACACUGGAACUGACCCUUUUCUGGCAGUGAAUGUAAGCUCUAGCUCCCCCAUGUACUAUAAAGAAAUGUCUUCAAGAUGUAGAAAUAAGGAAUAUUCUGAAGAUAAAAAUUAUACAGUAGUAAAGAUAAUUCAGAAAGAAAAAGCUACCUGUUAGAAUUUCCAGUCUAAAUGGCACAGGGUAGUUACGGAGAAAAGGGGAUGGAGAAGGAGAAACUGUGACUAAAGAUGAGAGGUAUGAACGAGUUGUCAGGUUCCUAUGGGCUUAAGCUAGGACAAUCAGGCCCUAAACUCCAAAUUUGGAUAAAAUAUCUCUUUGCAUUCUUCUUGGCCACCUGCAUAGUCUGACACAUACGUAUGUACAAUUAGACUUGCAGGCUGCAGGAGUGCCCUGCAUUGUUUUCUUUUAAUUAGAAAUAAAAAGUAUUAGUCUAAAUGUGGUUCUGGUGCUGGUGCCCUGUAUAUAUGUAACAAUAUAGGACCCCUCCAAAUAGGUUUUGCUUCUGGUGAAUCUUGGUCAUUGGGUUAGUAUAUGACUGUCUAUAAUAUUUUCCAUUUGUAUUAUUAUAUUGGGGAAAACAUUUUUUAUCAUUUUCUAUUAAGAAAAUGGAAAACUUAAAUAUGGUGUGAAAAUGGAAAUGUAUGUGAUAUUUGCAUUAUUAAACCCCUUUGCAGAUCUAAAGUCUCAGGGUUCCACUAUUAGUGGUUAAAGUACUGAAUAAUGUCUGGGUCUAUUUCCAUCUGUAAAAUAAGAAUAUUUGUCUCACGUGUCUGUCAUGAAUAGCAAAUGAGAAAAUGUAUAUAAAAGCACUUUGUAAAUUGUAAAAGUAGUACAGAUGUGAGCUUCUAUUUGUUUAGAAGCAUAAAUGUUAAUUAUAUACAGUUUGAAUUUUGCAUAAA